GCAUCUUGGGGGUUGUUUUGAUUGGUUUGUUUCCGGUGGUUGGCUCUCUGCUUGUGCAACAACUUCCACCUGGCAGACCUCUUCAGUUACCCGUCAAGGUUUUAUUGCCUUGAGUGCGUUGUAGGUUUCCUGUGUUGCAUACCUAUGUGACGGUAUCGUUUGGAUCCAUCAAAUUGAGUUUCAUCUUUCGUCAUGCUUGUGGCGUGGGAUGAACCUUAAAGCGAUCUCUAUGGUCUACCUUGUUAACGCAUACGUGUUGAUGUUGUGGCCCAUUGAGCGUUGCUUGGUUUUAUGGAUAUGGAACAUGUUGUGGGCACAGGGUCUCACAUGAUCCUUGUUUUGUCCAAGUUGAGCGCUAUCGUUUCUCUAAGAUGACUGCCUAGCCCGAAUUGGCUCGUACCAUCGGGUGGGAUAUGUUGUCAAGGUGGGAUGCUAGCGUUCUUGCUUCUCAAAAACGACCGCCUACAGCGUGUGGGUCAUGUCGAAGAGGGAUGCUA
rnacentral:misc_RNA from 1 species